rnacentral:rRNA from 1 species
UACAGAGGUCUCAAGCGUUGUUCGGAUUCAUUGGGCGUAAAGGGUGCGUAGGCGGCGCGGUAAGUCGGGUGUGAAAUCUCGGAGCUUAACUCCGAAACUGCAUUCGAUACUGCCGUGCUUGAGGACUGGAGAGGAGACUGGAAUUCCCGGUGUAGCGGUGAAAUGCGCAGAUAUCGGGAAGAACACCCGUGGCGAAGGCGGCACUCUGGGACGGUACUGACGCUGAGGAGCGAAAGCGUGGGGAGCGAACAGG